GGGGAAUAUUGCACAAUGGGCGCAAGCCUGAUGCAGCGACGCCGCGUGGGGGAUGACGGCCUUCGGGUUGUAAACCUCUUUCAGUAUCGGCGAAGCUCCAGAGUUUUCUUUGGGGUGACGGUAGGUACAGAAGAAGCACCGGCCAACUACGUGCCAGCAGCCGCGGUAAUACGUAGGGUGCGAGCGUUGUCCGGAAUUACUGGGCGUAAAGAGCUCGUAGGUGGUUUGUCACGUCGUCCGUGAAAACUCACAGCUUAACUGUGGGCGUGCGGGCGAUACGGGCAGACUAGAGUACUGUAGGGGAGACUGGAAUUCCUGGUGUAGCGGUGGAAUGCGCAGAUAUCAGGAGGAACACCGGUGGCGAAGGCGGGUCUCUGGGCAGUAACUGACGCUGAGGCGCGAAAGCGUGGGGAGCAAAC
rnacentral:rRNA from 1 species